rnacentral:rRNA from 1 species
GAUGAACGCUGGCGGCGUGCCUAAUACAUGCAAGUCGAGCGAACGGACGAGAAGCUUGCUUCUCUGAUGUUAGCGGCGGACGGGUGAGUAACACGUGGAUAACCUACCUAUAAGACUGGGAUAACUUCGGGAAACCGUAGCUAAUACCGGAUAAUAUUUUGAACCGCAUGGUUCAAAAGUGAAAGACGGUCUUGCUGUCACUUAUAGAUGGAUCCGCGCUGCAUUAGCUAGUUGGUAAGGUAACGGCUUACCAAGGCAACGAUGCAUAGCCGACCUGAGAGGGUGAUCGGCCACACGGGAACUGAGACACGGUCCAGACUCCUACGGGAGGGAGCAGUAGGGAAUCUUGCGCAAUGGGCGAAAGCCUGACGGAGCAACGCCGCGUGAGUGAUGAAGGUCUUCGGAUCGUAAAACUCUGUUAUUAGGGAAGAACAUAUGUGUAAGUAACUGUGCACAUCUUGACGGUACCUAAUCAGAAAGCCACGGCUAACUACGUG